UACAGGAUUGUGGCUCAGAAGUACAGCAUCCGCUUUGCAUGCAGAAGGUCCCAAGUUCAAUCCCUGGUGCCUCCUGUCA